AUGCACGCUGGCGGCGUGCCUAAUACAUGCCAGUCGCGCGAACAGACGAGGAGCUUGCUCCUCUGACGUUAGCGGCGGACGGGUGAGUAACACGUGGAUAACCUACCUAUAAGACUGGGAUAACUUCGGGAAACCGGAGCUAAUACCGGAUAAUAUAUUGAACCGCAUGGUUCAAUAGUGAAAGACGGUUUUGCUGUCACUUAUAGAUGGAUCCGCGCCGCAUUAGCUAGUUGGUAAGGUAACGGCUUACCAAGGCAACGAUGCGUAGCCGACCUGAGAGGGUGAUCGGCCACACUGGAACUGAGACACGGUCCAGACUCCUACGGGAGGCAGCAGUAGGGAAUCUUCCGCAAUGGGCGAGAGCCUGACGGAGCAACGCCGCGUGAGUGAUGAAGGUCUUCGGAUCGUAAAACUCUGUUAUUAGGGAAGAACAAAUGUGUAAGUAACUAUGCACGUCUUGACGGUACCUAAUCAGAAAGCCACGGCUAACUACGUG
rnacentral:rRNA from 1 species